UGUCAAACUCAGGACAGGGAGGGAGGGUCAAGAUGGCGUCCGAGCAGGAGAGCUCAAAUGGUCCGGUGAAGAAGUCAAUGCGGGAGAAGGCCAUUGAGCGAAGGACUGUUAGUAAGGAACACAACAGUAACUUCAAGGCUGGAUAUGUGCCCAUAGAGGAGGAGAGACUGCACAAGACAGGGCUGAGGGGUCGAAAAGGCAACAUAGCUGUGUGCAUCAUAGUCCUGCUCUUCCUGCUUGCACUCAUCAACCUCAUUAUAACUCUGGUGAUCUGGACAGUUAUUCGGAUCGGCCCUAAUGGCUGCGAUAGUAUGGAGUUCCAUGAGAGCGGCCUGCUGCGCUUUAAGCAGAAAGCUGACAUGGGGGUGGUCCACCCACUGCACAAGAGCACUGUGGGAGGGAGGAAGGACCAGGACCUUGUCAUCACUGGCAACAACAACCCGGUGGUGUUUCAACAAGGGAACACCAGGCUAAGUGUUGAGAAAGACAAGACGUCUAUCACCAGUGACCUGGGCAUUUCCUUCACCGACCCACGCACACAAACCACCUUCUUCAGCACAGACUUUGAUAACCAUGAGUUCCACUUACCCAAACAGGUCAAAGUGCUCAAUGUGAAGAAAGCCUCCACUGAAAGGAUCACUAGCAAUGCAUCGUCCGAUCUCACGAUCAAAGGUGAUGGCAAGGCCAUCAUUCGUGGAAACGAGGGCGUCUUCAUCAUGGGCAAGACGGUUGAGUUCAAGAUGGGGGGUGAUAUUGAGCUCAAAGCUGAGAACAGCAUCGUUCUGAACGGCUCUGUGAUGUUUAGUCCAUCGCGCAUCCCUAACACCUCUCUGGCAGGUGAACUGUACUUCAACGAAGGCCUGGAGAGGUACAAGCUCUGUAUGUGUGCAGAUGGGACCCUGUUCCGAGUACAGGUCAAAUAUCCCAACAUGGGCUGCCAGACCACAGACAACCCCUGUGGAGCGGCGCACUGAGAGCAGGGAAAUUCCACAAGACUUACACACACACACACACACCCUAACACACCUGUCUGUGUUAUUCAGAAUUGAUAACAGCUCUGCAAGAUAAAGUUGUUUACUUCAACAGAAAAUCAUGGUAAUUUUUAUACAGAGAUUGGUCAGUAGCCAUAAUUACAUCAAAAUUAAAUACACUCAUUCUGAUAUUGCAGUCGUGAUCAUACUCCCUUUCGUUUUAUAAUUACUUAUACAUUUAAACCGUGCCCUACACAAACACUCAUCUUUUUAUUAUGUAAUGACAUGGCCAAAGAGCUGCCAGUGAUUCAUCAUUGAUUCACCUUGGCAUUUUUAUAGUUUCUAAAGCUGAUUUGCUCUUUAACUUUCCGGACAUGCAGUAUGAUUUUUAUGAAGAUAUCUGGUGGAUGUUUUUUCUUAAUGGCGGUAUUCUUUUUUUUUUUUUUUAAAAUGAUUGUACCAAUUCAUGAAAUCCACAUUAUUUCUCUGGAACAUGGUGCAACCUCAAACUGAUAAAAGAAAAUCCAGACAGCCUUGUGGGUCAUGAUGGACUACCCAGGGUGUCUGAGAUAUUUAUGCCACUUCUUGUGCUUUUAUAUAUUUCUAUAUAGAUGUAUGUUGGCAACUGUAUAUGGCCCAGUUGUCCAAUAUUGACUUUAAAACAAAUCUCAGUUCACUUCCUCAUGAAACUGAAACGUAUUAGCAAUAACAGAGUCUUUGCUCUGUGUUAAAAGGGAUGACCUGUUCACCAUACAGUUUAACCCUGUACUUAUAAGUCACUUAAUCUGCUUAACUGCUGUUCCCACCAGUUAUACGGUUGAUAAAUAGUACAAUGGCAUUAUAAUUUGAUUUACAUUUGAAACGUUAUGCGUUCUAAGUGCCCGAUUAUGUUUACUUUAUUUAACAGUGCCAUAGGAUUUUAAAAACAUCACAAAUGGGCACAGAUGCACUUCAGCUUAAAGAUAAAAUGAUUUUUGUCAGUCAUAUGAACUUGUGUUGUGCUUUAAAUAAUAUCGUUGAUAAGAUGGAAAUAGAAACCAUGUGGUAUUUGAGUUGUUUGAUAUUUUGUGCAAUAUAACACUUAUUUUGUUUGGAUUGUAGUUUUCAUGUGUAGUAUUUAUUUGACUUACGUUGUUUUCUUUUUAAGAAGUGUUCAGAUGAUGACCGCGCUGUGCUUUCACUAAUGGUCAUCAAGUCCGUGUUACAUGCAUACAAGCGGGUGCCGUUUAAAAGGGAAAUAAUUUGUCAUUAAAAUGUUUGCAUUGACUAAAUAAACAAGUAUUUAAAAAAAAAAAGUUUUACAGCUUUUCUUAAGUGGUGAUUUAUUUAUAUAUAAUUUUACAUUUUGCUUAUGGAGUCUUUUUUCUUUUAUUAUUAAAAUGCUUUGGUGGAGGAAAACCAUAGUAAGAAAUUAACUUAUACACAUGAUCGGCUGCGAGUUAUUUACAACAGCAUCUGUGUGUGUGUGUGUGUGUGUCCAUGUUCAUGUGCUUCAGCAAUACAGUGCAGACUUUGAUCUUAGGUGGGUUCGAAUCAAAGUCAAAGAAUUUCACAGUCACAACCAAAGAGUUCGGAUGAUACGUUCUGAGCAAGUAUUAUAGCGUUCCCUCCGAAGUGGCUUUGAACACUGUAUGAGGGCUUGCUGUGAUGUUAGUGUCCAGCGUUGUGCACUGCAUAGCAGUUCUGAUUUUCCAGCUGUGGGGGGUGCAAACCCAUUCCCCCAUCCCUGCCUGUCCAGCCUCCUGCGUAUGUGAAAAGACUUUGCUUGUCAACUGUGCUUCAUUGGGCCUAUCCAAGGCCCCUUCACAUAUCCCAGCAACUGCCACUGCGCUGGAUCUAUCACAUAAUGCCUUGCAUUCUCUGGCUCCUCUCGGGUCAGGCCACAUGCAUUUACGGGGGCUUCAGCAUUUGUGGCUGGGAAAUAAUUCACUGGAGAGUCUAUCCAUGUGUUCAGGGAUCCAAGGUAUUUUGAGCACUAGGAGCCUGACUAGAAGAAAACAGAGAUGUGUGUCCUGGGCACCUGAUCUACAGUCACUGUCUGCUGACAGAAACCAGCUAAAACGUCUGCCAAGAGGUGAGAAUAUCAGCAACUUGCACACAUGGGCACACCCAGACUAUUUCAGAAACCUCAUUUAUGACCUCAUCAGCUCCAAAAAUCAUGCCACUGUGGCAACAGUGAUGUUGUAAUAAUCCACAGUCAUUAAAAGGAAUAAAAUAUGAUGGGGCAUUCUUAUAGGAAAAGAAUCAACGCCAUGCAGAGGGUCAUUAAAACCCUAGAGUUCAUUAUAUUCCUAUAACAACAUGUUAAACUUUAUCGUACUUUA